rnacentral:rRNA from 1 species
AGCGAACGCUGGCGGCAGGCUUAACACAUGCAAGUCGAGCGCCCGUAGCAAUACGGGAGCGGCAGACGGGAGAGUAACACGUGGGAACAUACCUUUUGGUUCGGAACAACCCAGGGAAACUUGGGCUAAUACCGGAUAAGCCCUUACGGGGAAAGAUUUAUCGCCGAAAGAUUGGCCCGCGUCUGAUUAGCUAGUUGGUGAGGUAACGGCUCACCAAGGCUACGAUCAGUAGCUGGUCNGAGAGGAUGAUCAGCCUCACUGGGACUGAGACACGGCCCAGACUCCUACGGGAGGCAGCAGUGGGGAAUAUUGGACAAUGGGCGCAAGCCUGAUCCAGCCAUGCCGCGUGAGUGAUGAAGGCCUUAGGGUUGUAAAGCUCUUUAGCGGGGAAGAUAAUGACGGUACCCGCAGAAAAGCCCCGGCUAACUUCGUGCCAGCAGCCGCCGUAAG